rnacentral:rRNA from 1 species
AGAGUUUGAUCAUGGCUCAGGACGAACGCUGGUGGCGUGCUUAACACAUGCAAGUCGAGCGGUAAGGCCCUUCGGGGUACACGAGCGGCGAACGGGUGAGUAACACGUGGGUGACCUGCCCCCUACUCUGGGAUAAGCCUGGGAAACUGGGUCUAAUACCGGAUAUGACUACAUGUCGCAUGGUGUGUGGUGGAAAGUUUUUUCGGUGGGGGAUGGGCCCGCGGCCUAUCAGCUUGUUGGUGGGGUGAUGGCCUACCAAGGCGACGACGGGUAGCCGGCCUGAGAGGGCGACCGGCCACACUGGGACUGAGACACGGCCCAGACUCCUACGGGAGGCAGCAGUGGGGAAUAUUGCGCAAUGGGCGGAAGCCUGACGCAGCGACGCCGCGUGGGGGAUGACGGCCUUCGGGUUGUAAACCUCUUUCGGCCCCGACGAAGCGUGAGUGACGGUAGGGGUAGAAGAAGCACCGGCCAACUACGUGCCAGCAGCCGCGGUAAUACGUAGGGUGCGAGCGUUGUCCGGAAUUAUUGGGCGUAAAGAGCUCGUAGGCGGUCUGUCGCGUCGGUCGUGAAAACUUGGGGCUUAACCCUGAGCUUGCGGUCGAUACGGGCAUGACUGGAGUUCGGCAGGGGAGACUGGAAUUCCUGGUGUAGCGGUGAAAUGCGCAGAUAUCAGGAGGAACACCGGUGGCGAAGGCGGGUCUCUGGGCCGAUACUGACGCUGAGGAGCGAAAGCGUGGGGAGCGAACAGGAUUAGAUACCCUAGUAGUCC